AUUAAACGCUGGCGGCAUGCCUUACACAUGCAAGUCGAACGGUAGCGCGGGGCAACCUGGCGACGAGUGGCGAACGGGUGAGUAAAGCAUCGGAACGUGCCCUGGAAUGGGGGAUAACGUAGCGAAAGUUACGCUAAUACCGCAUAUUCUGUGAGCAGGAAAGCAGGGGAUCGCAAGACCUUGCGUUCUGGGAGCGGCCGAUGUCGGAUUAGCUAGUUGGUGGGGUAAAAGCCUACCAAGGCGACGAUCCGUAGCGGGUCUGAGAGGAUGAUCCGCCACACUGGGACUGAGACACGGCCCAGACUCCUACGGGAGGCAGCAGUGGGGAAUUUUGGACAAUGGGCGGAAGCCUGAUCCAGCCAUGCCGCGUGAGUG
rnacentral:rRNA from 1 species